AACGAACGCUGGCGGCAGGCUUAACACAUGCAAGUCGAACGCGAAAUCACCUUCGGGUGGUGGAGAGUGGCAGACGGGUGAGUAACGCGUGGGAACCUACCUAGUGGUACGGAAUAACUCAGGGAAGCUUGGGCUAAUACCGUAUGUGCCCGAAAGGGGAAAGAUUCAUCGCCACUAGAUGGGCCCGCGUCGGAUUAGCUUGUUGGUGAGGUAACGGCUCACCAAGGCGACGAUCCGUAGCUGGUCUGAGAGGAUGAUCAGCCACACUGGGACUGAGACACGGCCCAGGCUCCGACGGGAGGCAGCAGUGGGGAAGAUUGGACAAUGGGCGCAAGCCUGAUCCAGCCAUGCCGCGUGAGUGAUGAAGGCCCUAGGGUUGUAAAGCUCUUUCGGCGGGGACGAUAAUGACGGUACCCGCAGAAGAAGCCCCGGCUAACUUCGUGCCAGCAGCCGCGGUAA
rnacentral:rRNA from 1 species